UCCUACGGGUGGCAGCAGUCGGGAAUUUUGGGCAAUGGGCGAAAGCCUGACCCAGCAACGCCGCGUGAGGGAUGAAGGCCCUCGGGUCGUAAACCUCUGUCGGAAGGGAAGAACGGUCGCAAGGUGAACAAUCUUGGGGCCUGACGGUACCUUCAAAGGAAGCGCCGGCUAACUCCGUGCCAGCAGCCGCGGUAAUACGGAGGGCGCAAGCGUUGUUCGGAAUCAUUGGGCGUAAAGCGCGUGUAGGCGGCUUGGCAAGUCGGAUGUGAAAUCCCGGGGCUCAACCCCGGAACUGCAUUCGAAACUGCCUCGCUAGAGUCCCGGAGAGGAGGGCGGAAUUCCCGGUGUAGAGGUGAAAUUCGUAGAUAUCGGGAGGAACACCAGUGGCGAAGGCGGCCCUCUGGACGGUGACUGACGCUGAGAUGCGAAAGCGUGGGGAGCAAACAGGAUUAGAUACCCUGGUAGUCC
rnacentral:rRNA from 1 species